rnacentral:tRNA from 2 species
GCCCAGCGAGCUCAGUCAGUAGAGCAUGAGACUCUUAAUCUCAGGGUUGUGGGUUCGAGUCCCAUGUUGGGCG